rnacentral:rRNA from 1 species
AACGCAGCGAAGGGCGAUAAGUAAUGUGUAUUGCAGAAUUCAGUGAAUCAUCGAAUCUUUGAACGCAUAUUGCGCCCCUUGGUAUUCCUUGGGGGCACACCUGUUCGAGCGUCAUUUCACCAAUCAAGCCUCGCUUGGUUUUGGGCGAUGCGCACGUCGCACGCCUCAAAUGCCCCGGCCGAGCAGUCUCUCACCCGGCGUCGUGGAAACAUACCGCUAUGGAGACGAGACCUGCCCGUGCCGCAGAAUAACCUAUUAACAAAGGUUGACCUCGGAUCAGGUGGGGAUACCCGCUGAACUUAA